CAGAGAACAACUCUCAUGCUACUUUAAUGGGAAUGAAUAAAGGAUGAGUCGAGGCUCAGACACCAGGUUAAGAGGCUGCUUAGCACUUCUGGCUCCAUGCCAGGUGGUGGAGGAGAUGAUGCUACAGAGUGGACUAAGGACAGUGAUGAAGGCAAGAAAAAUAGAAAAUGGUGGUGUCAUGUUAUGAUGGAUUAAGGGGCUGGAAAAAGGAUUAUUCAGUAGAUCAGUGAUGAUACAAACAAUAUUUAAAAAUGUCUCGGCCAGCAUCACUAAAUCAAUUGUGUUCGAUUCUCACUAACUAGUCACAAUGAAGUUGUAAAGACAGAUUUCCUCCAGCGUUAAAUUCAAGCCGGAUCCGAAUAUCCAGAUGGUAUAAAGAGUUAUAAAAAGCUACUUGUUGGCGAUGAAUCUAGUACUGUACGCCUCCACAGACCUUCGCUGUUUGAUCUGGGAGAAAAAGCAAUACAACAGAAAGCAGGAACCAGAGCAGAGGGAUCUAAAGAAGUGCCUCUGGGAAAGUCCUGGUGAUGUUGUCGAGAAACAGGUGGUAGUGGGAGUCUGCGCUAUGCCAAUAGCUGCGUUGAGAGCAGACCAAGAACAGAAUUUGGCACGGCGACGACAGAACCUGCCAGUCUGAGGCCUGAGAUAGAGCCGUAAUGGCUGCCACCUGCCCCGAGUUACGGCAAAUAACCGGAGUUGGUUACACAGCAGCCGGCGGCACCUGUGCUCGAUUGUCAAGUCGCCGCAUCAAAACGUGGUUGGGGGAUUAGUGGGUGCUGGGGGUGGUCGAAAUGUACACAAGAUGUUUUUCUGACUAUUGGCACCACUAGUCAGGCAUCUGUAGAAGGCAAAUCCAAUCUGCCGAUAUGUACCAAGGAACUAUGUUGGAGUUGAGGAGUUUCAUUUCAACAAUAGAGGCAAUUUUAAACGGAAUUAUUUAAAGUUUUACAAGAAAGAAAAACAAUACGACCGUAUCGUCCGACAUGUUCAAGAGAGUAUUUGAGGCGCUGUGAUUGACUGCCGGUGUCAUGUGACACGGUGUGAGUGCCUCUUAUUUUAGAGUGAGAUAAGGUGUUACAAAAAAGGGAGGGAGAGGAUUGCUGAGUUGUCCUUAUAGGCCCCGCCACGCAGCCAGGGCGCAUGCCGCCUCUUUUCGAUUGUAACGUUUCGAUUGCACCCUCUUAAGGCCUUAACCGCAUUUGUCCUGAUCCUGUUCGUUUCUUGGGAACUGCGGCCCACUUCAAAUAGGGAUGCCUGCUGUUUGAGCUUCUCUCUCUCCCUUGCUGUCUCUGUGUUCAGCAGUUUAUUUAGCUGCCAUGUUUACAUUCCAGUUGAGGCAGCCUCUCCCGGGGGAGGAUGACUGGACCGAGUAGUGUGGCCGAGCCUCCCGUGGCCUCGAAUCACUUUCAGAUCGCAAUAACUGACACUUGCGAAUGAUCUGACUAACCGUUUAACACAAGCGUGCAAACAUGACAUUACUCAUGAAUCGCAUUCGACGCGUAACUCAAUCUUAACGGGACGACAGAAGGCGAAUCUUAGCCCUCAAGUACUAUCACAAAGUAACAUGUUAGGUCCGAGGGAAGGGAGCUAAGUGGAUGAAGCUCAAGGCAGUCCUGAUCACUCAGGACCCUGGCACUUCACUGGCCUCAUCAUUAGACUGCCUGGCUCCGGUGGCCUCCGGCAGAGCGCUGUCUGCACGCCCUAAUGACCGCUGACUCACUCAGCACGCAGCAUUGCCGCCACAUUCGUUCAGCCCAGAAUAGCCCCAAAUAAAGAGAGAUGGGAGAGGAGCGCUGAUGGUAGGAGCCUGCUAUAUUCCUGCAAGAUGUUACUGGAGGCCAUGAUACGCUCAAUUGAAUUCACUUCAAUUCUGUUAUUACCCCUUCUUCGUUGCUAGGAGACAAAGUUCAAGACCCAACUCAACAGUCAACUGAUGUGAGUCAACUGAACUCUGUGUCCAUUGGGUGAGUACAAGAAAAAAAAAUCUCCCUGUGACCAUACACCUGUGUGUUAAGAACACAGAGGGAGGACACAUCUGUUUGGGAUUUGGAACUGGGCUAUUUCACCUCGUGUCACGCGAGACUAAGACAAAGGGGCCAGAGAUUGUAAGAGAGCUGCAGCCUGUUCCAAAUUCACAAGAGUCAGCCCAAAAUACAACUCCUAGCAAAUCAAUACAGGAUAUUGAUUGCAUCUCCACUGCGCUUAUGCAACAUCCCUACUUCGGUGUACAACUAUGGCGAAACCACAGAGAUAGCAAGGUAAAGGUGCUCGAAAUCAAAUUACAGCCAAUGUCCGCUUACCAUGUAGACAAGAGUGUCAACUUGUUUUUAAUCCACAGUAAUGACUCUUCCAUGAGCAAUAUUCAUGAAUCUCGUAAAGGCUUGGACCAUCAGCUUUAAAUGGAAGUCCAAAACGGUCAAGUGCGGCUAAUUAUGAGUGAGACGAGUCAUUGCUUUCUAACGACCCAACCCGCUCUGACGCGCUUCGACUCUACACACCUCUGACCUGAACUCCUCUCAGCCCUUCGAUAUUCCCGAAAACACCCCCGCAUUUCCAUCGGGACUGUGACGGAAGCUCAAAGAUGGCCCGCGCUUAAUCGAUAGUGCCAGGUUGCCACGACAACCUUGAUUUCCUGUCACCGUUUUCGUAGAGUGCCGGUGAUUGCGCCGGGUGUCCGUUGCACCUGCCGCCCUCUACUCCUCCUCUUCCAGUCUCUCAUCAAGCACUCCCUAUCCCAUACCUCCCAGCCUGCUGAUACACAAAAGAGGGCCGAUAUACAAAGGCAUCACGGGUUAGACCCAAGAGGGUGAGGGUGGCGCGAUCAAAAUACACACACAAACACGCCGUGUUAUCUCCAACUCUGCCGAGCUGUGACAGCUAUCAUAUCUACCUUAGACGCUGAUGUCAUUGUACCUGGGGAAGGUUUACUAUCAGUGCACACACAUACACAAGUCACCUCCCUCUUCUCCGCAAGAGGUUGGCACCUUCUGUUUUUUUUAUUAAUGGAGAGCUCAUUAAUCGUGAGUGAUAACGAGGACAUGGGACAGGGACAUGAUUAAGGGGCUCUCUCUCCUUUAGCUGGCCGCCCUUGGGAAUAAAUAGCCUUACGUGUACGUGUGUGUGGUCCGCAUGUUAAAACAGGUAAAGGACAUACUGUAAAUCUGUUGCUAUCACUAGGACAUCUCUGGUGUAGGACCCUGGGACAUGAUUUCCACUUUUGUUAUUCCAAGUAAGGCCAACACACCGAUUGGACAUUAAAACUGCAUACAUCUUCCGUUAAGAUGGAUGCAGCUGGAAUUUUCACUUGUAUGGAAGAUGACGCCUUAGGUUUACCACGCUUAGCUCCUAACGCAGUCAUUCAUUUCAAUUGCAUAUUCCAAAGAAAAAAAACGACUAAUUGGCGAACCUUAAUUUGUGUGGUAUCCUGUAAUUGUCCAAUUCGAUUAGUGCAUUAGGGUGAGCGACAGUUAAUCGAAAAUAGCGAGAGAGAGAUAUGCCAGACUGGCCCCAAUUUCUCAUUGCUUUAGACUAUGAAAUUGUCUAUCACACUUUGUGAAGCAUGCUAUGUUUUAUGAAUGAAACGUUACUUUGCUUUAUCUAGUAUCAUAACCAAAGGAAUAAUAACUCUUGGAUCCAAAAUAAAAUCUGAAUAGUUAAGACA